GGAGCAUCUAUGUAUCUAUAAAGCUUACUGUACUUUUAAAUGGAUGGAGAAAUGCCCAGCUGAAAACUUCGGGAGUGGAUGACCAGCUGGUGGGCCUAUUAUCUGGGCUAAAGAGAUUGCAGGCUGAGGAUAUGGAAACCCCCACUGCCCAUCUGGCUUGUGGAAGCAUCUGAGUCCUGCUGAGUCAAUGUGCCGUAAGAACUUCAGGUCCUGCUUCAACCAGAACAGGCUGUCCCCUGGGCGCUCACCCAGAUUGUUACGGCAGGAUGCUGCUGUUCCACUUCGGUCUUUUGCAGCUCCUGGACAGCCUUUAUGCAGUCACUUGUGUGCUCUGG
rnacentral:lncRNA from 1 species